GCAGUCGUGGCCGAUUGGUUAAGCCGAUGAACUAGAAAUCCAUUGGGGUCUCCCCGCACAGGUUCGAAUCCUGUCGACUGCG
rnacentral:tRNA from 1 species